rnacentral:rRNA from 1 species
UACGAAGGGGGGCUAGCGUUGUUCGGAAUCACUGGGCGUAAAGCGCGCGUAGGCGGAUUUGCAAGUCGGGGGUGAAAGCCCGAGGCUCAACCUCGGAACUGCCCUCGAUACUGCAAAUCUCGAGUCCGAGAGAGGUGAGUGGAAUUCCUAGUGUAGAGGUGAAAUUCGUAGAUAUUAGGAAGAACACCAGUGGCGAAGGCGGCUCACUGGCUCGGUACUGACGCUGAGGCGCGAAAGCGUGGGGAGCAAACAGG